AAGCCUAUAAAGUGAACAAGAAAGUCAGUGCUUGCUGUCCUUAGUGGAAAUCUUGCCUUGCUUCUCUGCGAGGUAUGACUGCAGUUUAUCUACAAAGGGGAAUACAAAUAGUAAUGAAAAGAAAGACUGAGUGAAGAAGUUCUUUGUUGCAAAGCAGCUUUGGCCUGGCAGCCUCGGAAGGACCUUGUGGUCUAGAGCUCUGCUUGAAGAAGUCAGCUGGAACACACAACAGUGAUCUGGUGGCUGGUUUCCUCACCUGCUUUGAGCACAGAUACCUGAACAUCUGGUGGGAGGAGACUACAGUUUGCUGAUGUACUUGGGCCCUGAAACUGAGAACUGUGAGAGGGACAAGAGGAACUGGUAGCAGCCUGCUGCACUGAAGGCCUGUGAAUCUUGCCUAUCUAGAAAGUUGUGGCUGAUAACAAAGUUUUUUCAAUAUGAAGUUAUUGAAGACAACAUGGAAGAUUUAUGUCUUUGAAACAGCAUCAGGAUCAGAGCUGAAGUGAUGAUGAGCUAGAAACAGGCAGUAAUGAGCUGAAAAGAAGGAGCAUGAAGGUGAAAUGAAGUACACCUGUGGGCUCCAAGUUUGCAGCUGCCUGACAGAGUCAUCCAAAUAUGCCACCCUGUCUCUAUCAGCCUGGAAACAGAAGCAGUGUGUUCAUGCUGGGCUUUUCAGCAGUGCCGCAUACAUCUUCUAUGACUCAGCCAAAGAUGAAGUUCAUGUAUAAGGAGAACAUCUCAGGUCUAGUUGGUUUUCUUGGUUGGUUUGUUGUUGUUGUUUUUCCGUAAGUAGGUAGCACCAAAAUGCUUCUCUUAAGUGUUCUUAAGUGUUGCAUAGGUUUCAGCUAUGUGUAUUGCAGAUGUGUAUUGUCUGGAAGAAGACUGGCAAGAUUAUAACUUAGAGGUGUCAAGCAGUACCACCAUUACACCUCCAUUCAGUUUUUGUUAAUUCUGCUACACUGGCUGUCAGACUUAAACCAUUUCUUACACGGACAGCAGUAAGACAGAAUGGGAAUAAGGAUUACAGGGACUGAAGACUUGGAACAACUUUUUUCUGCAUUUAAGAGGUUCUAGACAUGAAAACUGUUUUUCAGAUGUGAACGACUGAAGUAUAUAACCUAAAAAUAAAUGACAU